rnacentral:lncRNA from 1 species
GUAAAAGCAAAAUAAAUUUCUACAUACUGUAGCACACGUAGCCAGGUAUUCAAAACAUUUAACAAUGACAUGUGGGCUCCCGAAUGACUAAAAGUAAUGAAGGCUGUGAACCUACAAUUUUUGAGGAUGCAAGUCCAAUUGUAGCCCUCAACUAAAUGAGCUAUCUACUGACUAUCCUAAGCCUGAAAUGGGUGUAAAGGAGGGUGAUGAGAUUAUAUAAUCCCAGUGAGUAAACAAAUAUCAUCUAAAAUAUCUAAAGCUGAGUAAAUGGAGACAGAUAAAAUAGAUUAGCAUAAAAAUGAUUCACAGCAUUUCAAACUCAUUUUAAUAAGAUAAAAUAGAUUCAUUUCACCCAAAUAAGCAACAAGGCUUACGAUUUCCUAAAAAACUUGGCUCGUGCCAAAAUCAUUCUCAUACUCGGUUGUUAGGGAUACCUUGACCUGGGGCUAUCCCAACCGAAUCCGCCAAGGCUGUUAAAAAGUCAUGUACGCAUAAAUCAUGUUUUUAUUUUGAAAACAUAGCCGUUCCUUGGCGUUGGCUGAGUUCACCCUCAUGUGGUGGUUUGGCGUGAAGUGAACUCUAAAGUUUUACCUCAGAAGUUACCCUACGCGCCUCCUCAACCAAGGUAAGAAUAUACCCGGAUUUCAUGCCCCUCAAAAAGGCUGGUCCACAGAACCCGCCACUGCAGUGACCAAUCUAUAACCCAUCAAUUCAAUAAAAAUUCAACAGCAUGACAUGGCAAUUUUAUCAUUAUCCAGCCUAUCAAGGCAAACAACAGUUUGUACAUUUUCAACACAAAUACCCAUCCAGCCAUUCAUGCCCACAUUAUCAUAAGCCAUUCAUUUCAAAACAUAAUUUACAAUACAGCAAGUAGUCUCCAAUUACUCCAUUUUCAAAUCAUCAUUAAGUUUCAAAACAAUUUAUAAAAUCAUUUCAUUUAAUCACAUUUUGCUUAUAAAACAUAAAGAUUUACCAUAUAAACUCAUUUUUCUAUCAAAUCACAAAAACGAAUAAAAACUACUUUAGAUAAUUAAGACGAUAAUAAGGUUACUCACUGUAAUGGGAAUCGAAUUCGGGAUACUCUGAUUCUGGAUCCUCGGAUACUACCUCUUUACUCUUGCUAGAAUGCUCACCACCUAGACAUAAUGCACAAUAAGCAAUUUGCUACAUUUGUGCUAAACCGUUGUAAAAACAAUUCAGGCUCUAUACUAAUGCAUGAAAUGGGAUGUGAAAUACUCGGGUAAUUAUCUAAAUACGGUGUUCAAUAUAAAUUCAAUUAUGUACCUAAAUAAAAUGGUAUUGGCCUAAUUCGAU